ensembl:snoRNA SNORA70 Small nucleolar RNA SNORA70
UUGCAGCCAAUUAAGCCGACUGUGCUCUUUUCCCCGUUGGGGCCAGGUAUGCAGUGGUUGCAACCAGUAGCCUCCUCGGUAGUGUAUGCAGCCUGUUGCUGUAUGGGUUGCCCUAAGGGAUCUUGGAGACGGCC